rnacentral:tRNA from 1 species
ACAUUGGUGGUUCAGUGGUAGAAUUCUUGCUUUCUACACAGGGGAGCUGGGUUCAAUUCCUGGCCAGUGCA